rfam:Paenibacillus sp. MAEPY2 contig5, whole genome shotgun sequence.
CCGUGCUAGAUGGGGAGGUAGCGGUGCCCUGUAACUCGCAAUCCGCUACAGCGAGGUUGAAUUCCUGCUAGAGGUUUUGUCGAUGUGAGGUUUGGUCCCUUAACGUGGUGUUGACGGUUGGGUCCUCCGCAAUGAGUACUCAUGAACCUGGUCAGGUCCGGAAGGAAGCAGCCAUAAGUGAGAUCACUCUUGUGCCGGAGGGUUGCCUAGCCCGAGCUGUUGUUAAGGGGUGCCGCUUGGAUCGCAAAUAUCGAUAGCAGGUGCACGG